rnacentral:rRNA from 1 species
CACGUAGGGUGCGAGCGUUGUCCGGAAUUAUUGGGCGUAAAGAGCUCGUAGGCGGUCUGUUGCGUCCGCUGUGAAAACUCGGGGCUUAACCCCGAGCCUGCAGUGGAUACGGGCAGACUAGAGGUAGGUAGGGGAGAAUGGAAUUCCCGGUGUAGCGGUGAAAUGCGCAGAUAUCAGGAGGAACACCGAUGGCGAAGGCAGGUCUCUGGGCAUUAACUGACGCUGAGGAGCGAAAGCAUGGGGAGCGAACAGG